CAUGCUCUGUCCUCCAGGACAGUUCUGUCCUACCAUGGGACUCGCUGAACCUGCAGGUUACUGCAACGCUGGCUUCUGGUGCAGGGAGGGGGCGUACUCCCCCAGUCCUGUGGAUGGCCUCUCAGGCUUUCUGUGUCCUGCUGGGCAAUACUGCCCCUCAGGUACCCCUGCCCCUGUGCCCUGUCCUUUGGGUACCUGGUCUAACAGUACUGGCCUGGCGAACCAGGAAGAGUGCCGACCCUGCCCUGGAGGACUCUACUGUGACUCUAUCAGCCUCACCGCUCCCACUGGGUCUUGCACUGGAGGAUAUUAUUGUCUUGAGAGAGCAGUGACACCCACUCCCACUGAUGGCCCUACAGGCGGACCCUGUCUAGAGGGUCACUAUUGUCCCGUAGGAACCACUCAGCCGUUGUCCUGUGAUCCAGGGACGUAUAUGAUUGUAACACAUGCAACUCAAUGUGAGCCCUGUACCCCUGGCUGGUAUUGUGUGUCAGGCACCCUACAACUGUGUCCUGCAGGUUUUUACUGUCCCGAGGGAACAGGAUAUGACUUGAGAGCUUGUCCAGAGGGCACAUACAGCCCUGAGCUGGGCUUGACAUCCAUCAGCCAGUGCAGGCAGUGUGACGGUGGCCAUUACUGUCCACUUAGGAAUGGCACCUCAGUCACAGGACAGUGCCUGGAGGGGUAUUACUGCUCCAACGGAAACACCUCUCCACAGCCUUCCUUUCACUCUGCAGGUGGAGGACCAUGCCCUGCAGGUCACUACUGCCCUAGAGGCACCAUCGAUCCUCAACCUUGCCCCAUUGGCACAUUCAGCAACCUGACCAAACUAGUCUCCCAGAACGACUGCCGGCCCUGCUCCCCAGGUUAUUACUGUGAUGCGUCUCGGCUAACAGCGCCUACAGGGGAAUGCUGGGAAGGUUUUUAUUGUCGCCGUGGAGCAGUUUUCCCCAACAGCCCUAUCAGAGACAGCCGAGGAGGGCCGUGUCCACGAGGUUAUUUUUGCUCUAAGGGUUCGUCAGCUCCGCGAGAGUGUCCCCAGGGAGCCGUCAGUUUAGAGGAGGGUCGAUCCAGCUGCAGCCCCUGUCCCCAGGGUUAUUACUGUCCUGGCAACAGCUCCCUCCAUGAAACCAAUGAGUGCCCCGCGGGUCAUUACUGCCCAACUGGCACCUCCUCUCAGUACCAGUACCCAUGCCCUGCUGGGACCAGCAACCCACACACUAGGAUGGGCAGUCCACAGGACUGCCUGCCAUGCCCCCCAGGGUUUUUCUGUGGCUUUCCUGGACUGAGUGCCGUAUCGGGCCAAUGCAUCACUGGCUAUCUUUGCCACUCUGGAGCAGUAUCCCCGAAACCAGAAGACGGUGUGACCGGUGAACGGUGUCCCCAAGGUCAUUACUGUCCAGAGGGCUUGGCUGCAGCGCCACGUCCCUGUCCUCUAGGAUAUUACAGCAACACCACCAGGAACACACAACUCUCUGACUGCCUGCCCUGCCCUGCAGGGUUCAUUUGUGCCAGCAGAGGGCUCUCCCUCCCUUCUCAUCUCUGCCCGGCUGGCUCCUACUGCCCAUACAGACACAACUCCAGCCUCCCUGGAUCUAUCACCUGCUCAGCUGGGCAUAUGUGCCCACUUGGCAGUGCCAUCCAGGUUCCCUGUGUGCCAGGGACUUACCAGGAUCAACCUGGGCAGGCAGAGUGUUUUACCUGUCCAGCAGGGUUUUACUGUGCAGGCUCAGUACAUCCUAACACAGAACAGGGGGCGGGAACACACAUGCCAACCCCUUGUCUGAAGGGACACUACUGCCCCCCAGGCACACGGUCUGGUGUGGAGUACCCAUGCCCAGCUGGCACGUUUAGUGGGCAGACCAGCACAUCUAAUAAGAGUGGGUGUGUGCCCUGCCCUCCAGGGAAGUACUGCAGCUCUGCAGGGUUGGCAGUGCCUACUGGGCAAUGCUCUCCUGGGU
rnacentral:lncRNA from 1 species